GGGGUCUUCCGCAGCGAGAGCUGGCGAAUCCUGCACCCCUAGGGAGCAGACCGUGCGGACCCAGUCCGGCAGGCCGGGUGAGCCCCAUCCCGGGAACUGCGGAGGCCGAGAGGGUGCUGUGCGUGGAGACCUGGCCUAGAGAGACCGAGCGUCCGGAAAUCGGAAGCCCACCCGCUGGUGGAGGCUCCAGGCUCGGCAUCUAUGCUUCGAUACAAACCUUAGGUUCCCUAGUAACUGACUACAGGCAUGGGCCACUAAAUCAGGACCACCUCAUCUGUUUAAUGAAGACCACGUAACACUCACUAUGGGCAGAACUUUAGAGCUACAUGUGGCGAUUGAACAUUUGACUAUGUGUAUAACAGCUGUUGGAGUGUUGGGUCCCACACAAAGGAAGAACUGAAGGAUGCGGACUUAAAGAUUGAAAGGGCAAAGCCUAAUACAGUGA